UCCUAAGACUUUUUUUAACACUUGAUGUUGACAUCAUGAACUUGGGUAGUUUUAUACGGGUCAUCAUCUGAGGAAGUGAGGUUGUGGUAAAAUAUCCUUACUUCCUUUUUAUGUAGAGUAGGAACUGGAGGCUCGAACAAAUUUUCUCAACUCUGGAACUUGAUCAUUUCAAUAUGGAUGCAAUUUUUAGAUCAGACACUCUUCCUCUCAACACUUAUUGUGUUUUAAGGAUCUCUUGUCUUUAUUUUCUUGUAAAGGAUUUUCUCUUUCCUUUUGAUGUGAUGCCUUUCCACUAGGACCAGUUCCUUUGACUGAGACUCCAGGCUCUUUUGAAGUCCUAGCAGUUUUAGAGUUGGGACCUAGUCCCUUAGAGCUUGGUGCCUUAUCUUUUUUUUUUCCUACACCAAUAGAUACUGGCUUCUUUAUCAGAACUCCUCUGGCCUUUCCUUUAUUGGGUGAAACAACAAAAACACCCUUUGACUUGGCCCUCCGAGAGUCCACACUCCUCACCAUAUCUUUAUUAACCUCAUCAUAAAAAUCAGCAUCAACAUUAGCAUCAAAAUCGUUAUCACUUUCCUAGUCACUCUCAAUUUCUUCUGAUUCCUCCACAAGUACCACCUCUUCAAUAGGCAACUCAAUCUCAAUAACUGUUUUUUUCUUCAUACUUUUCCUUUUCUGAGUAUAAUGUUUUCUUGCAACCAAUGCAUCUUCCAUUAACUUCUCGGAACUUGAUCUGCUCUCAUGAGUCUUGCCUGCCUUAGAUGGAAACCAAGUAGUGAAAAAUACCCUUUGUUUGAUCAUUUUCCACGACAAGGGAUUUUCAUCCUCACUAUCCAUUCUAUCUUUUUCUUCUUCAUUCUUCUCGAUCACUACAAGUGGACGGGGUAAAAUCUCACAUUCCUCCUCAGUAGGCUCGGGAGCCUCAUUUUAUCAUCGAGUGGAUAAAGACCCAAGGGUAUUAUCCGACUUAGGAGGAGUAGGAGAACCAAUUUUGCGUGGAGGCUCCUCACUCAGAGCAGUCAACCAUUGUAUGACCAUUUUCUCACUUACGUCAAGAAUAUUUGACUGUGUUCCCUUUUUGGUAGAAAGAUAUCCCUCAAAUAUUUUCUCAUCUACAACAUGGCUUUCUGAGGAAGUAGAAGAAGCAGAAUUCUCAAGACUUAGAUUUUGAGAUGGGAAAACUGAUAAUGAAACUGGGGAACAAGUUGAACUGAUGGUUCUGGGAUGGUUUUUGAUUCCUUGCUAACGAGUGUAGAAGAAACUAGAAUAGGAAUAGAUGGAGUUUCCUGAUUAGCUCUCAUUUGAGGAGAAGAUAAUGAAGUAUUUUUAACUUCUUGAGUAGUCCAAAAGCUAACAUUUCUGUGAAGUGAGAGAGGACUAAAAUGUAUUAUAACAAUGGGGUGCUGAAGAUCAAAAAUAGGAGAGGAGAAUGGAAGAGGAAAAGCUGAAAUGGGUUUAGGCUCAUUUGGAGAGGAAAGUGAUGAUGAUGGAUUAGGCAUGACUGUUGAUUUUUCUAAGUGUAAGUGUUUGAAAAAAUAUGAGGAGUGAGAGAUAGAGAGUGCAGGGAACUGAUAGAGCAAAUGGUUAGAAAUUUAAGGG
rnacentral:lncRNA from 1 species